rnacentral:rRNA from 1 species
UGGCCGUAAACGAUGUGGACUUGGUGUUGGAAUGGCUCCGAGCUGCUCCAGUGCCGAAGGGAAGCUGUUAAGUCCACCGCCUGGGAAGUACGGUCGCAAGACUGAAACUUAAAGGAAUUGGCGGGGAGACACUACAACAGGUGACGCGUGCGGUUCAAUUAGAUUCUACACCGUGAACCUCACCAGGAGCGACAGCAGAAUGAAGGUCAGUCUAAAGGGCUUACCUGACACGCUGAGAGGAGGUGCAUGGCGUCAGUGACU